rnacentral:rRNA from 1 species
AUAUGUAAAAAUCGUAACAAGGUCUCCGUUGGUGAACCAGCG